rnacentral:rRNA from 1 species
UACGUAGGGCGCAAGCGUUGUCCGGAAUUAUUGGGCGUAAAGAGCUCGUAGGCGGUCUGCUACGUCCGCUGUGAAAACCCAGGGCUUAACCCUGGGCUUGCAGUGGAUACGGGUAGACUAGAGGCAGGUAGGGGAGAAUGGAAUUCCCGGUGUAGCGGUGAAAUGCGCAGAUAUCAGGAAGAACACCCGUGGCGAAGGCGGCUCUCUGGGACGGUACUGACGCUGAGACGCGAAAGCGUGGGGAGCGAACAGG